CACGUAGGGGGCAAGCGUUGUCCGGAUUUAUUGGGCGUAAAGAGCUCGUAGGUGGUUCGGUAAGUCGGGGGGGAAACCUCCAGGCUCAACCUGGAGACGCCACCCGAUACUGCUGUGACUGGAGUCCGGUAGGGGAGCGUGGAAUUCCUGGUGUAGCGGUGAAAUGCGCAGAUAUCAGGAGGAACACCGGUGGCGAAGGCGGGUCUCUGGGCCGAUACUGACGCUGAGGAGCGUAAGCGUGGGGAGCGAACAGG
rnacentral:rRNA from 1 species